UACGUGUUAAUGUAAAAGCAUAAAAGAUUUUGAUUCUUUCAGUUUUGGUGUAAUUCCAUUACAUGUAA
rnacentral:tRNA from 1 species